GGAGUUGUAGCUCAGUGGUAGAGUGCUUGUCUAGCAUGCAUGAAACACUGGGUUCGAUUCUCAGCACCA
rnacentral:tRNA from 1 species